rnacentral:lncRNA from 1 species
UAAUAACAAAGCUCACAAUAGUACCAAGUGAAAGAGAAAUGUUAUCAUCGCAUGUCCUACAACUAGACUUCCAAUAAGUUUAACUUUAAUAUUUUGUUAGGAAGCGUUCUGUCAUGCUUCCUAGCCUUCCGCAUAUUGGAGCAACAUCUCAAUAAUAAAUGUUGUANGUGGUCAGAUUGAUAGAAAGAAGACAGUUACUGUGUUGAAGUAAUAGUAUAAGUUGGAUGACAAUUAUUUUCAGGAAAAGGUGUAGCUACACAGGUGUGCAGAGGAACUGCUACACAGCAGCUUGUUGAAUAUUCAAGAGUGACCCUUGGUUUUUUUCAGAGUUUCCUCAGUCGGGUUGUAUCUGUAUUUAAAACAGAUUUGANUUAUCAGUCCUGUUUAUCUCUAGAUUAGUUUCUAGUUCAUUUGCNAGAACACAUAGGCCCUUUCUGCACUUGGCUUUAUUCUGCAUCAUAUCUCAGAACAGUGACCUGCUAUCUGCAUGCUAGUGGAGUUUACAGCAGGCCCUGUGUGUGGCCUGCCAUAGUUCCUCCUAGCAUGCAGGUGGCAGGUCCCUGUUCUGAGAUAUAAUCUGAUAUAAGGCCAAGUGCAGAAAGGGCCAUACAGUCCAUAACUGUGCUCAAAGUCUUCCACUGCUGUCCUACACCUGGUUUUUGUUUUUGUGUUUGUGUUUAACAGUUAUUGAUGACCAUUCUUUUGAAGAUUCAUCAAGAGAUUCUGGGAAAACAGAUGAAGACAGCUGGCUUUCUUCAGAAGAUGAAGAGUUAGAUUUCACUCUUAAGGUAAAGUGUAUAGCAGAAUUAGUCGGGUUUACGAUAGUUUAGGUUGUGAACAGGCUGAGGUGAGAAUGCAUUUAGUGGAGGUAUAUGAAUCCAGAAGGGUUUGUGAUUAUUACCUAUGAGAAGUUUGCUAAAUUGAAAGCUGGUGCCUAUACUGUANCCCUGGUGAAUCUCUAGACUAUAAUGAAUUGGUAAUUUGCUGUACANAAGUGUUCUAAGAAGCCCUUUUGCAGUAGGAACAACAAGCAAUAGGUGAAGAUGUGCCUAUUUACCCUUACCUUUGGCUAAAGAUACGGCUUUCCCUCCCCACUUUUACUGCUUUAUUGUGUGCCUUUUAUAUUCUGUUUUUUAUUGUUGUAACCUGCCCUGAGAGCUUGGGGUAUAGNGUGGGAUAAAAAUACAAAUAAAUAAAUAAAUAAAUAUGCUCUUGGAGGCCG